rnacentral:rRNA from 1 species
CAGUCGCCACGGUAAUACAGAGGAUGCAAGCGUUAUCCGGAAUGAUUGGGCGUAAAGGACGCGUAGGCGGAUUAUCAAGUCUCUUGUGAAAUCCAAUGGCUUAACCAUUGAACUGCUUGGGAAACUGAUAAUCUAGAGUGAGGGAGAGGCAGAUGGAAUUGGUGGUGUAGGGGUAAAAUCCGUGGAGAUCACCAGGAAUACCCAUUGCGAAGGCGAUCUGCUGGAACUCAACUGACGCUAAUGCGUGAAGGCGUGGGGAGCAAACAGGAUUAGAUACCCGAGUAGUCCCUGUCUCUUAUAC